CUCAGAGAGACGGAACGACAACUUCCGCCCCCCCAGAUUCGAAUGGCGGUACGGGAGAUGCGAGGACUUGACUGAAGGAGGCAAUCAUUGAUCAUAACAGGAGGAUGGAGAACCAUCCUGAUGGACCUCGGGGUCAGGAACCCAUGCAGUGGCAACUUCUGCGUCGAGUGAGGGAUAGAGUGGCCUCUAUUCUUAACAGACAUCCUAUAGACUAUGAAUACCUGCACUUUGUUUGUGUUCAGGAGCUGCAGUUUGUUCGAGCUGGGACAUCAUAUAUGGACAUUCCUGAGAGCGUAUUAGGUAGUCUACAGCAGCUUUCUGACAUUGUCAGCAACUAUCUGUCACAGAGGGUCAUCCCACCACUGUUUAAUGAUAUAGCUGUGACUGAAUUAAGAGGCAGUGUGGGACGACCUCAGAUAACCAUAGAAAGCCAGACUCUUCUAGAUAUGCUAAGCACUGAGUUAUCCCUGACUUCUUUGUCUGACCUCCAUGGGAUUUCCAGGUCAACGUUGUACAGAAGAAUGAAAGACAAUAACCUUUCUGUCCGAAAAUGUUAUUCUGACAUUACAGAUGAUGUGCUGGAUCAGAAAGUUAGGUCUAUCAAAGCACGUAUGCCCCAUGCAGGUUAUAGACUUAUCAAAGGCGCUCUUCAAGCACUGGGGCAUCGCAUUCCAUGGAGACGGGUUGAGAGGUCAUUGCAGCGUGUGGAUGGUGCUGGAGUAAUUUCUAGAAUGGUCCAGCUGUCUUGCAUUGCGAGACGGACAUACUCUGUUCCUGCUCCCUUGUCUCUUGUCCAUAUUGACACAAACCAUAUAUUUAACCGUAUAUUUUUUUUAUUCUCCUACUGAUCUAUUUAAAGACUAUUUUAACUUUAUUUCAUGCAUUCAAUAUAUACAGCCUGAACCAUUAUCUUCUGUAGGUACAACAUUGUAGUUUUUGGAGCGAUCGAUGGCUUUUCGCGGAAGGUUUUUUUUUUUUUUUUCAAUCCACAAUUUAGUCUAUGUCUUGCUGAAGUACUGUACAAGGAUUCUGUUUGUUCUAGAUCUUUUACUUGGAUACAGCUGGGAAUAACAAAGCAGAAACGGCUUUUGGAUUUUUCAUGGAGGGGGUGCAUAAACACGGAUGGCCAUCCA